AUAACGGUUAGUAUGCUGGUAGCCGAAUGAACUGGAAAGUUCAGUCAAAGAAGGUGACAACCCUGUAGGCGAAACCUGCAUAUCAAUCAAGGCGGCACCUGAGUAACCCGGAACACGAGAAAUUCCGGGCGAAUUCUCGGGGACCACCCCGAAAGGCUAAAUACUACCGAGAGACCGAUAGUGGACCAGUACCGUGAGGGAAAGGUGAAAAGAACCUCGAACAGAGGAGUGCAAUAGAACCUGAAACCGUGUGCUUACAAGCGGUCGGAGCUUCGCAAGGAGUGACGGCGUGCCUUUUGCAUAAUGAACCUACGAGUCACCGUCGAUGGCAAGAUUAAGCGUUUCAGACGCGAAGUCGAAGCGAAAGCGAGUCCGAAUAGGGCGUUUAUGAUAGUAGAGACAUUAUCAGUCCUUCGGGACAGACGGCGAGGUGCUGCAUGGUUGUCGUCAGCUCGUGCCGUGAGGUGUCGGCUUAAGUGCCAUAACGAGCGCAACCCCCACGUUCAGUUGCCAUCGGGUGAUGCCGGGCACUUUGGACGGACUGCCGGCGCAAGCCGAGAGGAAGGCGGGGAUGACGUCAAAUCAGCACGGCCCUUACGUCCGGGGCUACACACGUGUUACAAUGGCGUGGAACAGAGGGCAGCUGCCGGGCGACCGGUGGCGAAACCGUAAAACACGUCUCAGUUCGGAUUGGAGUCUGCAACCCGACUCCAUGAAGCUGGAUUCGCUAGUAAUCGCGCAUCAGCCAUGGCGCGGUGAAUACGUUCCCGGGCCUUGUACACACCGCCCGUCAAGCCAUGGGAGCCGGGAGUGCCUGAAGGACGUAACCGCAAGGAGCGUCCAAGGGUAACACUGGUGACUGGGGCUAAGUCGUAACAAGGUAGCCGUACCGGAAGGUGCGGCUG
rnacentral:rRNA from 1 species